GUUCCUACGGGGGGCAGCAGUAGGGAAUUUUCGUCAAUGGGCGCAAGCCUGAACGAGCAAUGCCGCGUGAACGAGGAAGGUCUUCGGAUCGUAAAGUUCUGUUGAAGGGGAAAAAGAGCGGAGAGAGGAAAUGGUCUCCGAUUGAUAUUACCCUUCGAGGAAGUCACGGCUAACUACGUGCCAGCAGCCGCGGUAAUACGUAGGUGGCGAGCGUUAUCCGGAAUUAUUGGGCGUAAAGAGCGCGCAGGUGGUUAAUUAAGUCUGAUGUGAAAGCCCACGGCUUAACCGUGGAGGGUCAUUGGAAA
rnacentral:rRNA from 1 species